GACGAACGCUGGCGGCGUGCUUAACACAUGCAAGUCGAACGGAAAGGCCCUGCUUUUGUGGGGUGCUCGAGUGGCGAACGGGUGAGUAACACGUGAGUAACCUGCCCUUGACUUUGGGAUAACUUCAGGAAACUGGGGCUAAUACCGGAUAGGAGCUCCUGCUGCAUGGUGGGGGUUGGAAAGUUUCGGCGGUUGGGGAUGGACUCGCGGCUUAUCAGCUUGUUGGUGGGGUAGUGGCUUACCAAGGCUUUGACGGGUAGCCGGCCUGAGAGGGUGACCGGCCACAUUGGGACUGAGAUACGGCCCAGACUCCUACGGGAGGCAGCAGUGGGGAAUAUUGCGCAAUGGGCGGAAGCCUGAUGCAGCAACGCCGCGUGCGGGAUGACGGCCUUCGGGUUGUAGACCGCUUUCGCCUGUGACGAAGCGUGAGUGACGGUAAUGGGUAAAGAAGCACCGGCUAACUACGUG
rnacentral:rRNA from 1 species